rnacentral:lncRNA from 1 species
UUUCUACCCAAAUGAAUCGUUAGUUUUGCGUACGUGCUUAUCAAACACCCAUAAAAAUAUCUCUCUCCCUCUCCACUUGAACUUGAACUUGCACAAUGAGCUCCGCCCAAUCACCCACUAGAUAUGGUCAAGCGUAGUUGCGGCUUUGAGCUUGAUGCCUCUAUUGUCACGGGUGUCGGUGGUGUUGGUUGAGGCAGUGGCAGCGCCCAUCGAGGACAUGGAUGGUGAUGUUGAUUGGCAAGUAUGGUUGAGAGACAGAGAAAGAAAGA